rnacentral:snRNA from 1 species
AUACCUUUCUUGGCCUUUUGGCUAAGAUCAAAUGUAGUAUUCGUUCUUAUGAGUUUAAUAUCUGAUAUGUGGACUGAUAAUGAUAUUAAAUUAAUUUCUCUUGGGGAAGGGUCCACCACAAUAGCUUGCUAUUGGAUUCUCAUAUAUUGCCCAUGCAUUGAAUUACCACACAGGUCUGCCGCUUCCCU